AUUCUUCUAACAGGAGUAUUCUCAAGGGAAGAGGAGAGGAGAGGAGACCAGUAGAAAAACAUGGGACGACAACUGGCAUGAAAGUGGAAAGAAGUACAUGAAAGUGGAAAGGAGUGUACAUCUUAAGUACAUGAAAGUGGAAAGAAGAUACGUAAAUGUCUUAAAUAAA